UAAGUCAGUAGUGAAGUGACGAGGCUCAACCUCGUGUCCAUUACUGAAACUGCUAAGCUAGAGAAUGAGAGAGGUCACUGGAAUUCCCUGUGUAGGAGUGAAAUCCGUAGAUAUAGGGAGGAACACCGAUGGCGUAGGCAGGUGACUGGCUCAUUUCUGACACUAAGGCACGAAAGCGUGGGAGCAAACGGGAUUAGAUACCCGGUAGUCCACGCCGUAAACUAUGGAUACUA
rnacentral:rRNA from 1 species